CAAAGUGGAUCCAUCCACGUUUCUGGGUCCAGGCUGUGCGUCCGAUCGCCUUUGUCAGCUGAGGGAAAACUCAGGGUGACUUGAGCCAGGAGGACCGCGAAGUGGACAGCCGGUACCGCGCGCUGCCCUUUCCCUUGUUCCAAACUGGGCUGGAGAAGUUCAUAGGAUUUGCUCCGUGUGCACCGCGUGCGCUGUGAGCCUUUUCAUCAGGGCAGCAGCAGGCGCGAAGGAGCGCGCUGGCGCCCUCUGGCGGCGAUCCUCGGGGGCGUCCGCGCCGUGCCUGUCCCCCAGGCCUCCGGGAGCCUCGAGCCCCAGCGCAACUGUGAUUCUGCCAGGUACAGCGAUCGUCAUAGCGAAAUGAAAAUGCUCCGAUUAUUUGUUUAGAAAUAAAACCGUUCCUCCUGGAAAAUGUGCCGGGAUGACAUUUUGUG
rnacentral:lncRNA from 1 species